GUGGUGGUUCAGUAGUAGAAUUCUUGCCUUCCAUGUGGAAUAUCUGGGUUCGAUUCCCAGCCAAUACA
rnacentral:tRNA from 1 species